GGGGAAUAUUGGACAAUGGGCMGCAAGCCUGAUCCAGCCAUGCCGCGUGUGUGAAGAAGGCUCUAGGGUUGUAAAGCWCUUUCAGUAGGGAGGAAAAGYUAGUAGUUAAUAACUGCUAGCCMUGACGUUACCUGCAGAAGAAGCACCGGCUAACUCCGU
rnacentral:rRNA from 1 species